CACGCUGUAAACGAUGGAUACUAGGUGUGGGAGGUAUCGACCCCUUCCGUGCCGCAGUUAACGCAAUAAGUAUCCCGCCUGGGGAGUACGGCCGCAAGGUUGAAACUCAAAGGAAUUGAC
rnacentral:rRNA from 1 species